UUUACAGCCCUGGACACUAUAGUUCUCCCUUUUCCACAGAGCAGGUACAGCACUGCCAGCCUCAGUGCAGGCUUCUCCAGAUGGCCUUGCCACCGUGAAAUAUCCCUGAACUGGAGGAACCCCUACUUGGUUUCAGAGGAGAGGGAUGAGCAAAUAUAUAAUAAGCAAAUAGAAGUUUUGUCAUG
rnacentral:sRNA from 1 species